CUCAGAAACUUAAGGAUGACGGGGCCCGCACAAGCGGUGGAGCAUGUGGUUUAAUUCGAUGAUACGCGAGGAACCUUACCUGGGCUCAAAUGUAUGUUGACGUAUUCUGAAAGGGAUACUUCUUCGGACAAUAUACAAGGUGCUGCAUGGUUGUCGUCAGCUCGUGCCGUGAGGUGUCGGGUUAAGUCCCAUAACGAGCGCAACCCCUAUCAUUAGUUGCCAUCAGGUCAAGCUGGGGACUCUAAUGAAACUGCCUACGCAAGUAGUGAGGAAGGUGGGGAUGACGUCAAAUCAGCACGGCCCUUACGUCCAGGGCUACACACGUGCUACAAUGGCCGGUACAAAGGGCAGCUACCUGGUGACAGGAUGCUAAUCUCAAAAGCCGGUCUCAGUUCGGAUCGGAGUCUGCAACCCGACUCCGUGAAGCUGGAAUCGCUAGUAAUGCGCAUCAGCCAUGGCGCGGUGAAUACGUUCCCGGGCCUU
rnacentral:rRNA from 1 species